rnacentral:rRNA from 1 species
GGUGCUUGCACUGGUCAAUCUAGUGGCGAACGGGUGAGUAACACGUGGGUAACCUGCCCAUCAGAGGGGGAUAACAUCCGGAAACGGAUGCUAAAACCGCAUAGGUCUUCGAGCCGCAUGGCUUGAAGAGGAAAAGAGGCGCAAGCUUCUGCUGAUGGAUGGACCCGCGGUGCAUUAGCUAGUUGGUGAGGUAACGGCUCACCAAGGCCGUGAUGCAUAGCCGACCUGAGAGGGUGAUCGGCCACAUUGGGACUGAGACACGGCCCAAACUCCUACGGGAGGCAGCAGUAGGGAAUCUUCCGCAAUGGACGCAAGUCUGACGGAGCAACGCCGCGUGAGUGAAGAAGGUUUUCGGAUCGUAAAACUCUGUUGUUAGAGAAGAACAAGUGCUAGAGUAACUGUUAGCGCCUUGACGGUAUCUAACCAGAAAGCCACGGCUAACUACGUGCCAGCAGCCGCGGUAAUACGUAGGUGGCAAGCGUUGUCCGGAUUUAUUGGGCGUAAAGCGAGCGCAGGCGGUUCCUUAAGUCUGAUGUGAAAGCCUCCGGCUCAACCGGGGAGGGUCAUUGGAAACUGGGGAACUUGAGUGCAGAAGAGGAGAGUGGAAUUCCAUGUGUAGCGGUGAAAUGCGUAGAUAUAUGGAGGAACACCAGUGGCGAAG